GCACUGCUGAAGAGUUCCGCGAUAGGACGAAAGGGCCGUCCAGUAU
rnacentral:hammerhead_ribozyme from 1 species